rnacentral:antisense_RNA from 1 species
AUUUUGCCCAGCUUUCUGUCUGGGGCGCACGGAGCAAUCGGAAGAGGGGACCGAGCGCCCACCCCAGGAUUCCCUCAGCCAGUACCCUCCCUGGGACCUUGCCCAAGUUCAAAGCGGAGGCCAGUGAGCAGGCGGCAAGGGGGCGCCCGGGCCAUCCCGAACCCGUUCCCCGCCUUCUGCGCCAUCACCCUCCGGGACCGGGACUCGCCCCGGUUGCCCUCGCCCCCUGGGCCGGCCUCCCGUGAUGAAAAUACGAGUUCUCCGAUCGCGUUGGACCGGAGCGGGCCACGUCCGAGCUGCUUGCAGAGGGAAACCAUCGGAAAUAAUGAAUAGCCGCUCCAUGCAAAUUAUUCAGACAGUUUAGCGUCGGUAGCCGCGAGAAAUAUAUAAAGAACACGAGUCAAAUGACAUUAA